GAUCAUGGCUCAGGAUGAACGCUAGCUACAGGCUUAACACAUGCAAGUCGAGGGGCAUCAGGAAGAAAGCUUGCUUUCUUUGCUGGCGACCGGCGCACGGGUGAGUAACACGUAUCCAACCUGCCCUUUACUCGGGGAUAGCCUUUCGAAAGAAAGAUUAAUACCCGAUAGUAUAACGAUUCCGCAUGGUUUCAUUAUUAAAGGAAUUCCGGUAAAGGGAUGGGGAGUGCGUUCCAUUAGGUUGUUGGUGAGGUAACGG
rnacentral:rRNA from 1 species